GAUUCAGCGGCGGACGGGUGAGUAAUGCCUAGGAAUCUGCCUAUUAGUGGGGGACAACGUUUCGAAAGGAACGCUAAUACCGCAUACGUCCUACGGGAGAAAGCAGGGGACCUUCGGGCCUUGCGCUAAUAGAUGAGCCUAGGUCGGAUUAGCUUGUUGGUGAGGUAAUGGCUCACCAAGGCGACGAUCCGUAACUGGUCUGAGAGGAUGAUCAGUCACACUGGAACUGAGACACGGUCCAGACUCCUACGGGAGGCAGCAGUGGGGAAUAUUGGACAAUGGGCGAAAGCCUGAUCCAGCCAUGCCGCGUGUGUGAAGAAGGUCUUCGGAUUGUAAAGCACUUUAAGUUGGGAGGAAGGGUUGUAGAUUAAUACUCUGCAAUUUUGACGUUACCGACAGAAUAAGCACCGGCUAACUCUGUGCCAGCAGCCGCGGUAAUACA
rnacentral:rRNA from 1 species